GACGAACGCUGGCGGCGUGCUUAACACAUGCAAGUCGAACGGAAAGGCCUGCUUUCCCUUGUGGAUUGCGGUUACUCGAGUGGCGAACGGGUGAGUAACACGUGAGUGAUCUGCCCCCAGCUUGGGUAUAAGCCUGGGAAACUGGGUCUAAUUCCCGAUAGGACUGCAGGGUGGUGCCUGUGGUGGAAAACGAUUUUCUAGUGGUUGGGGAUGAGCUCGCGGCCUAUCAGCUUGUUGGUGGGGUAAUGGCCUACCAAGGCGGCGACGGGUAGCCGGCCUGGGAGGGUGGACGGCCACAUUGGGACUGAGAUACGGCCCAGACUCCUACGGGAGGCAGCAGUGGGGAAUAUUGCACAAUGGGCGGAAGCCUGAUGCAGCGACGCCGCGUGGGGGAUGACGGCCUUCGGGUGGUAAACUCCUUUCGACCGCGAGGAAGCCACCUGGUUGGAAGGGUGGUGACGGUAGUGGUAGAAGAAGCACCGGCUAACUACGUG
rnacentral:rRNA from 1 species